AACGCACGAGACCUGCGGACCUGCGGAAGGAUCAUUACAGAGUUGCAAAACUCCAAACCAUUGUGAACUUACCUUUGCCGUUGCUUCGGCGGGCGGCCCGGGUCCCGACCCGGCGCCCCCCGGCCCCGUCAGGGGCGCCCGCCGGAGGUAAACCAAACUCUUGAAUUGUAUGGCCUCUCUGAGUCUUCUGUACUGAAUAAGUCAAAACUUUCAACAACGGAUCUCUAGAUCGGAAGAGCA
rnacentral:misc_RNA from 1 species